CAUGUAUUUAGAUUUUGGAUAUUGGACCAUAAUAGGUAAAUGUCCAAUUUAAAAUUUUUAUUAUAAGUUUUUAAGUUUAAGUUCUUAGACCACAUUCAUUCUGUGUCAGAAACCUAUGUUGUGUCAACUAUUUAAUCACAAUCCAAAUUCAGAGCUGUAUCAAGCUUAAAUGUUGUGUCCAUACUUGCCCCAACUGUUCAGGCUUCAACAUCUGCGGUCGUAUAAAGCUACGCCUUGCAGAGCAUCUGGUUUCAUCAAUAUUCAUGUUUAUACAUUGUGCAAUUUUAGAUCUGACGAAAUGAUGAAUCUUAAUCCGAUUGUAGUUUUAUAACUUAUUUUUUUUAGAUAUCAAGAAGUGAUUAAAUUUUAGAUUUUAUUUUAUAUUCUAUGUUUACUACACAAAUACAUUACUUUGAGUCUUGCUUUUUAGUUCAAGUUUGACCAGUAUAGUGUAAUAUGAAUGUAUUUGUGUGUUGUAUUGUCUGUGAAUAUUUGUCAGGGCAUUUUUCAUCAUAACCUGAAUGUCAAAAAUACUGCACAUCUUAGGUCAUUGGGUUGCUAUCUCAUUGACAUAUUUUUUAUCUCCUGUUAUAUCCAAUUAUAUUUAUUGUAUAUGGAGUGAUUUCAGCUUUUAUGGAUUUAUGAGAAGGCACUCUAGAUUUUUUAAGUUAGUAAAGUUGUACUAGUUAUUUGUGAAAAAUACCCAGCAUCCAUGUAUUUCUGAAAUCCAAUGUACAGCAGAAAAUUCAAAAGCCAGAAUAUGAAUUUUCUACAAGACACUUAUGUACAUUAUUUUUUGUGAAGUAGCUAGCCUAGCACCUUCAUUUCUCUUGUCAGAAGGGAAAAAACCAUAGAACACAUUAAUUUCAAAGGCUAAGGAUUCCUUCAUAAAUUUUAUCAGAAUCCUUAGCCUUUUUCAUGAAAUUUGUAAUAAUUUUUUCAUCAAAUAUUGUAAUUAAAAAUCUUAGUAUCAAUUAUAUAAAAUAAACAAAUAUGGUUAAAUGUUGCAUUCCAUGUUUUAUACAUUUCCAGGGGCCAUGAAAAU
rnacentral:lncRNA from 1 species